rnacentral:rRNA from 1 species
UCAGGACGAACGCUGGCGGCGUGCCUAAUACAUGCAAGUCGAACGAACUGUGGAAAGCUUGCUUUUCAGAGUUAGUGGCGAACGGGUGAGUAACACGUAAGUAACCUAGCUAUUAGACGAGGAUAACUACUGGAAACGGUAGCUAAGACUGGAUAUGAUAGAAAUAUUUAAAGGAUGCUAAGGCAUCGCUAAUAGAGGGGCUUGCGGCGCAUUAGCUAGUUGGUAGGGUAAAAGCCAACCAAGGCGAUGAUGCGUAGCCGACCUGAGAGGGUGACCGGCCACACUGGGACUGAGACACGGCCCAGACUCCUACGGGAGGCAGCAGUAGGGAAUCUUCGGCAAUGGACGGAAGUCUGACCGAGCAACGCCGCCGUGAGUGAAGAAAGUUUUCGGAUUGUAAAGCUCUGUUAUUAGGGAAGAAAGGCUCUAGGAGGAAAUGCUUAGGGAUUGACGGUACCUAAUGAGGAAGCCACGGCUAACUACGUGCCAGCCGCCGC